rnacentral:rRNA from 1 species
CUACGGGGGGCUCCAGUGGGGAAUAUUGCGCAAUGGGCGAAAGCCUGACGCAGCAACGCCGUGUGAGGGAUGAAGGCUUUCGGGUCGUAAACCUCUGUCGGAAGGGAAGAACGGGCAUUGGUCUAAUAGGCCUUUGUUUUGACGGUACCUUUAGAGGAAGCACCGGCUAACUCCGUGCCAGCAGCCGCGGUAAUACGGAGGGUGCAAGCGUUAUUCGGAAUUACUGGGCGUAAAGCGCACGUAGGCCGUUUUGUAAGUCAGGGGUGAAAUCCCACGGCUCAACCGUGGAACUGCCUUUGAAACUGCAGGACUUGAAUCCUGGAGAGGGUGGCGGAAUUCCUGGUGUAGGAGUGAAAUCCGUAGAUAUCAGGAGGAACACCGGUGGCGAAGGCGGCCACCUGGACAGGUAUUGACGCUGAGGUGCGAAAGUGUGGGGAGCAAACAGGAUUAGAUACCCCAGUAGUC